rnacentral:rRNA from 1 species
AAGACCUUGCGCUUUUGGAGCGGCCGAUGCCUGAUUAGCUUGUUGGUAAGGUAAAAGCUUACCAAGGCUUCGAUCAGUAGCUGGUCUGAGAGGACGACCAGCCACACUGGGACUGAGACACGGCCCAGACUCCUACGGGAGGCAGCAGUGGGGAAUUUUGGACAAUGGGGGCAACCCUGAUCCAGCCAUGCCGCGUGAGUGAAGAAGGCCUUCGGGUUGUAAAGCUCUUUCAGCCGGGAAGAAAAGGUUGCGACUAAUAAUCGCAAUCCAUGACGGUACCGAAAGAAGAAGCACCGGCUAACUACGUGCCAGCAGCCGCGGUAAUACGUAGGGUGCGAGCGUUAAUCGGAAUUACUGGGCGUAAAGCGUGCGCAGGUGGUUCUGUAAGUCAGAUGUGAAAGCCCCGGGCUCAACCUGGGAACU